rnacentral:rRNA from 1 species
AUUGAACGCUGGCGGCAUGCCUUACACAUGCAAGUCGAACGGCAGCGGGGGAGAAGCUUGCUUUUCCUGCCGGCGAGUGGCGAACGGGUGAGUAAUACAUCGGAACGUGCCCUGUAGUGGGGGAUAACUAGCCGAAAGAUUAGCUAAUACCGCAUACGACCUGAGGGGGAAAGUGGGGGACCGCAAGGCCUCAUGCUAUAGGAGCGGCCGAUGUCUGAUUAGCUAGUUGGUGGGGAAAAGGCCUACGAAGGCGACGAUCAGUAGCUGGUCUGCGAGGACGAUCAGCCACACUGGGACUGAGACACGGCCCAGACUCCUACGGGAGGCAGCAUGGGGGAAUUUUGGACAAUGGGCGAAAGCCUGAUCCAGCAAUGCCGGGUGUGUGAAGAAGGCCUUCGGGUUGUAAAGCACUUUUGUCCGGAAAGAAAUGGCUCUGGUUAAUACCUGGGGUCGAUGACGGUACCGGAAGAAUAAGGACCGGCUAACUACGUGCCAGCCGCCGCCGUAA